rnacentral:rRNA from 1 species
UUCUUCUUCUUCUUCUUCUUCUUCUUCUCAACCAGGACAAUGAGCAGCGGCGGCAGCAUGGAUCACCAUGACACCGCCGAUCCAUUCUCCUACUACGACCAACCUGCAGGGUCCAUGGAUGGCGACCACAUGUCCUCUCUAAAAGAGCUCACCGAUGGCUUCUCCGAUGAGCGCACCCUCGGCACCGGUGCCUACGGCAAAGUCUACAUGGGUGUACAUGAAUAUGGGAAGAAGAUUGCUGUCAAGAUGUUCCACGACGACACGCCCACACAUGCUGAUGGUGGUCAUGAGCAGUUCCAGAAGGUGUUCAGCAACCUUAAGAGGCUCCGACACCAGAACAUCGUGAAGAUGCUUGGGUACUGCUAUGAAACUCAGCAAAAACACAUGGAGUAUGACGGGAGAAAGAUUUUCAGUGAAAAGACACAGAGAGCGCUCAGUUCCGAGUAUAUGCACAACGGAGACCUUGACAAGUAUCUUCUUUCUGAUAAAUACAAAGGAGAUACUUGGCAGACAUGCUAUGGAAUGAUUAAGGGGAUUUGCAAGGGUUUGAAAUACCUUCACGAGGACUUGGAAUCUCCUAUUUAUCAUUUGGAUCUAAAGCCACCCAAUGUGUUGCUGGAUGAGAAACUUGUGCCGAAGCUUGCGGAUUACGGCUUGUCAAGGCUAUCUGGAGAUGAGCAGACACAAAUCAUGAAAUGUUUCAUGGGAACAAUUAUGUUUUCAUUAAAUCCACCGUGUCGGUACGUGCCACCAGAAUACAUAUUCAGCUUGGGGGCUAUCAUCAUAAAGAUACUUGCAGGACCGAUGAGUUACUCAAAACGUGCCGAGAUUUCCACCCAGCAAUUCGUUGAGCUUGUACAUGGAAAUUGGAGGGAUAAGCUCCAUGCUACAUCAACAUAUGCAUUGGAGGUAUAUUCUGAGCAAGUAAGGAGCUGCAUAGAAAUAGCUUUAAGUUGUGUAGAGGCUGACCAAUGCAAAAGGCCGAGCAUUGGAGAAAUCGUUGAUAAGUUAAUUCAGACGGAGACUGCGAUUCACAAAAUGACCCAAUCACCAGGAACAUCAAUGGAUCAGAUGGGCUCCUGCUUGCUGGAUGCAUCUGAAAAGAGAGGAAGAGAGUUGUUAGGUGUCCAUCCCCUCCAGCUCCGAUUCCCCUUUGAACCGAAUAAGUUGAUCCCCUGCCAACUUAAUCUAACGAACAACUCAGAUGAGUAUGUCGACUUUAGGUGUGUCCCAAAAAACCCCAAGAGUUUCUUGAAUGGACUGUCGCGGCUCCAUGGAAGCAUGCUGCCAAACACCAGUUGCAUAUACGUUGUAACGAUGGAAAAGCACCAGCAACCACCUGCAAACAUGGUCACUCUUGAUGUUAUCCUAGAGAGCUGGGUAGGAUAUAGAUACACGUGUGGGUGGGGCAUGGAUGACUACUUCUCUACGGGGUCACAAGAGGAUCUGAGCGGCUGUCCGGUGCAAAAGGUAACACUGAAGGCUGUUUGUGAGCCAGCAAGCAAGAUGAUGGCAUCUGAGGGAUGGCACUUUGUCGGAAAUACUAUCAAUGGAUGUGCAUCCAACGAAGCCUUGGAGAGAGUGAUGUCGCUGAGACCUGUAAAGGAGCCAGCACCAUGUGCUGGAGACCAUUGGAUGCUUUCUGCUAAAUUCAUCGCGCGGGAGGAAUGGUUCGUGGCCGGCGAUGGAUACGGUUACAUCCACGUGCUCUCAUCUGCGAUGAUGGAUGAGAUCACACAGUUCAAAGCUCACACGGGCUGGGCCGAAUCGCUGGCCAUUCACCCGAGUCGCCCGCUUGUGCUAUCGGCAUCCAACGACAGCUUAAUCAAGCUAUGGAACUGGGAAACUGACUGGUCAUGCAUUCAGAUAUUCGAAGCGCACUCACGCAAUGUGCAACACUUUCGCAAGUGCUUCAAAAGAUGGCACAACAAAGGUACAAAAGAACAAAAAAGGCUCAUUUCUCUAUCUAUUUGGGAUUUGCAGACAAAGAAAUGUAUCCAAGAACUCAAGGGACUCCAACAUAUGUCUGGCGUCAAUGUUGGUGUGAUCGACGGCAUGCAAGGGCAUCCUGUUCUAAUAACAUCU